AUUGAACGCUAGCGGGAUGCUUUACACAUGCAAGUCGAACGGCAGCGCGGACUUCGGUCUGGCGGCGAGUGGCGAACGGGUGAGUAAUGUAUCGGAACGUGCCCAGUAGCGGGGGAUAACUACGCGAAAGCGUAGCUAAUACCGCAUACGCCCUACGGGGGAAAGCAGGGGAUCGUAAGACCUUGCACUAUUGGAGCGGCCGAUAUCGGAUUAGCUAGUUGGUGAGGUAACGGCUCACCAAGGCGACGAUCCGUAGCUGGUUUGAGAGGACGACCAGCCACACUGGGACUGAGACACGGCCCAGACUCCUACGGGAGGCAGCAGGGGGGAAUUUUGGACAAUGGGGGCAACCCUGAUCCAGCCAUCCCGCGUGUGCGAUGAAGGCCUUCGGGUUGUAAAGCACUUUUGGCAGGAAAGAAACGUCGCGGGCUAAUACCCCGUGGAACUGACGGUACCUGCAGAAUAAGCACCGGCGAACUACGU
rnacentral:rRNA from 1 species